rnacentral:lncRNA from 1 species
AUGCAUUGCGGCUCAACUGGAUCGUUGAAGCGGGAUCCCGGACGUGUCCGUCAGAGCGGAGGACCACGGAGGUUGGCCACCUAUAUCCUGAGGGACCGGGGUCCGUCGUUCCGAUCGACCGUGACGAGAUCAUCAAAAGAACCUGGGUGGACUGAAUCCGGUGAGAGCUUUCAAUUUUUUUUUUUUUUUUUUUCGUUCCCUUUCUCCUCCUCUCAUUUAUUCUAUUUUAUUCUUAUUUUAAAAGAAAAAAGGGGUUUGGUGUUUGAAAGCCUGUGAGAUAAGACGUCUAUCAAGACCAGGGAUUGAACUGUGACCAUAAUUAAACGAGAUCAACGAAAACAACGUAAAGUUUACCUGUGCGUAGAAUGCGUAAUUAGAUAAUGCCUUUGUGAGCUACGGCGAGACCGAAGGAGUUUUCUGUGAAUUUGGUAAUUUAUUAUCGGAUAACACAGAUCAAAUAUUGUGAGUUUGUUAUGGAAUACCAGUACUGUGACCUAUAAUUAAACGAGACCAACGCAAAGUUUGCCUGUGCGUAAAAUAAGCAUUGGUGAUGCCUUUGUGAGCUACGGCGAGACCGAAGGAGUUUAUCAGGAAAAACCAAACCCGAAAAGUUGUGAGUUUAUUAUACGGAAGACCAGGGAAACGGUAAAAGCAGAAUGGAGAAUCCCGGCGUGGACUCCAAAUUAAUUAGGUUUAUGCUGAAUGUUGUGAUUUUGUGAACUAUUAAGUGCAAAGAAUAUGGGUUCCCUGAAGGUGGAUCUUUGAGCAAGAGCCAACUUCAGAAACUCAGAGAGAAUGGGUGAAAAAAAAAAAAACAAAACCACCCAAUACCUCUGAUUGAUGAGCAACAAUCAGACAGAUGGGAUAAGUAAAACAGAAGCUACUUCUUUUCCUCUCUUUGUGUUUCUCUGUGCAGGCUCCAUGGGGAACCAGAGCCGACCUGUCGAGUGGACUCCAUCCCUCCCCUCUACCAACCUAACCCCUUGCCCUUAAAUUAGGCCAGCAUUCCACCUCCUCCUUUCAAUCCUCCUCCUCACUCCUCUCCAAGCAGCAGCGACACAGGUCCAACAUCAGCCUUUUCACCCAUGAGACUGAGAAGUGAGCGAGCAGCAUCGGUGGCCCAGGGUCCCAUCCUGCAGCUCCCCGUGAUACAAGAUGCCGAUGACCUCAUGGUAGAGUCCAAACACCUCCUGAACUCCGAGAGAGGAGGAGCAGCCAUGGCAAAGAGAACUGAAUGGCUUUGGGACAGAACAGGCUGACAGAGUCUACAACAUGUGGCUGACUGACAUCUGUACUGCCCUGAAUGAAAACCUCCAACCACAUGCGAUCUGUCAAAGGUCAACAACUGCACCAGAAAGAAGAUGUCUCCAUAUGAAGCGCUGAUGAAGAGUCGCUUCCUGGAUGAGUUCUACUCAUCUCUCGCAGAAGCCGAAAGACUUCCUGAGUGAGCUGGACUGACACAUGCGUCUGAAUGAUGUGCUCCGACACGCCUGUGACCAAACAAACCAGGCCAGAUGAAACACAGCAACGACAAAAAGAAGAUGACCCUACACCGUGUUCAGCCCCCCCUUCAGCAUGCUGGUGCAGACCCCCCCCUCAGCUGAGAGCUGCCUCCACUCCAGCUCCUCUCCAGCUGUCAGAUGUCUACUACUGAGGAAAGCCUGGACACUGGAGGAUGAACUGCCCUGAAGAGGACGUGGAAACUUUAGAAGCCUCCCAAUUACGGUGAGCGUGGCCGUGGACAUUUCCACAGCCGUUCACAACGUUCACCAUUCGGACUGAGGGGUAUGGAGAGGUGGAGCUCUGCUUGACACGUCGACACCGGGAUCCUCCACUGCAGAGCCUAAGGUCAUGUAUGAUGUGCACACACACAGACACAAACUGGGAGCUCCCACACACCCACACCACACUUUUACACAUGCAUGUGAAUUUUUAUCUUAUUGGUGUUAUAAUUCUUGAUUUUCUGAAGGAGGUUAAUUGAGUAGAAAGUCAGCUUCAGAAGCUGCGAGAAUAUUUGGUUCAAAAAAAAAAAAAAAAAAAGAGUUCAUUGUUGAUUUUGUUGAUUCCAGCAUACACUCAUCUGAAUUGCCAGGUACUAGACUAAAUGGUUGAUUUCUAAAUCUUGUCAGCUCUUAGAUCUGACAAUAGAUAUGUUAUCAGAUUUCUGUAAGAUGAUAAAGUCAGAAAAUGAUCUUUAAUUGAGCUUUAAUUGAUCUGUGACGUGCUGCACGUUGUCUGUCUUACUAACAUUUAGUCAAUCUGAGUUUUUCUGGUCCAGAACAGUGACCCACACGUCUCCCUGGCCAAAUCCCAUUCUGAUCAGGGGAGAGACUUGGGACUCUGGAGAAAGGCCUGCAUGCAAUCUGUGAUGUCAGCCCCCAACCCCCCCUGCUCCUGUCCUCUGAUAACAUUCCAGAGCUCCCUGAUGUUCCCGACUCUGUGUCCUGCAGACCCCAGCACCGCCUUCCUCCAGCCCCUGAAGGUUCUUCAGGUACCACACCUGUUUGCUCGAGCUGCCGAAUGUCACUGUUAAAAGGUGAGCGGCGUUAAACCCAGUGAUUCCUCCCCACACCUGACGAGGGUUAUGACUGUACUGCUGGACUAUCCCUGACUGUACGCUCUGACUUGAUCUCAAUGACCGACCGCUACAGAUCCCAGACUAGUGGAUCUGCAGUUGAAUCUGCUUUGUGUGACCCUGUAUUUGAGGUUACGCCGUCUGCACGGGUCGUGAGACAGCAGAGACCAUAGUAGUUACCAUAAUAGUUACAGUACUCUGCCUUUUCAAAGCCUGGCUAACCAUUCAGUGGGUUUAAGAAUAGAUAAGAGCAGCUAGGGUGGGGGAAGAGAAACUCAAACUGUGAUUACAUUGGUCAGAAGUUAGGGUGAAGACAUCCCAUCAUGUGUAAGUGUUUGUGUUGGUGACACCCCCCUGCAAGCCAGCAAAACCCAGGGACAAGGUGGUGUUGGAUCAGACCAUUUCAACCACGUGGUGGACAGACCAUGUGGUGAGGCAGGUCAUUAGAGAUGGCUGCAGAGCAAAUGGUCUCCAGGUUUUUCUCAACUCCUAAUAAACUUGGUUGAUUUUACCUGUUUUGUUCCCCUUUGGACAAAACAGAACUCGGGGAAAUAUUUUAGGAUGAAAAUCCCGUCUCAACAUAACCCUAAUGCUUCUGAUCCCAUCUCUGCAGGAUAUACUUGUGGUGACGCUGCAGCAGCAGCAGCAGCCUUAUGUCCUACACGUUCCUCUUUUUUGUGUUUGUGUUCUCUAUUUCACAGCUC